rnacentral:rRNA from 1 species
UACAGAGGGGGCAAGCGUUGUUCGGAAUUACUGGGCGUAAAGGGCGCGUAGGCGGCCUGUUAAGUCGAACGUGAAAUCCCCGGGCUCAACCCGGGAACUGCGUCCGAUACUGGCAGGCUUGAAUUCGGGAGAGGGAUGUAGAAUUCCCGGUGUAGCGGUGAAAUGCGUAGAUAUCGGGAGGAACAUCAGUGGCGAAGGCGGCUACCUGGCCCAAUACUGACACUCAGGUGCGACAGCGUGGGGAGCAAACAGG